rnacentral:lncRNA from 1 species
UAGUAACCUAAGAAGAGGUAAAUAAUCCAAAUCUUCUGGUAUUUGCAUUGGACGACGCUUCCGCCGAACGGACUUAGCCAACGACACGUGCCUUUGGGAGCCGAAGCUCCUAUAGAUUCUUAGGAAUCGGAGAUUACGCAUUCCUUCAAAAGCCGCUUUACCAACAGAAACCUCUCCGAUAUUGGAUGUAUCAAAUGAUAUACCUAUGACAGAUCCAGUACCCUACAAAAUAAUAUUGCCAAAGAAGACUGAUGAAACUGUUAUCACUAAAAAUAGGCAAUAUACAUGUAAGAACUUAAACUUACUGUUUCGGUUGUCAGUACAUCACAAAUCUCUUCCGCCUCAGUUAAAAAUUGACGUUUCCCGGGCUCGUCAGACUGUUCAUGAACUAUCUGUCUACCCAAUUGUUGUAGUAGAUGGUGCAUCACUAUACGGCCAUAGGUAGAUUUAUGCACGAGAGAUUUAUCGGCUAGGGUCUCUAACCCAUUCCUAACAUCCAAGUUACUAUCAGAAAGCACAGAUAUCACAUUAUCAACGACUUCAUGGUUGAAGACGCAUGCAAUGUGAAGGAAUAGAGAUUGAUUUUUCUUCGACAAUCUGUCAUAUCCCACUUUUAAAAUGUCUUCAACUUUUCCAUCAAGACUUCCAUCAAUUCUAGAUAAUUGAAGUUCCCACACGUGCUUGCUCUGCCCACGCAAAGAUGAACCCACGACACAAAGGCCUAAUGGAAGCUUACCGCAAAGCUUUGCUACUUUAUUGGCAAGCUCUUCAAAACCAUCUGGUACAGAGCUUUGUUUGAAAGCAGAGAGACAUAAGAUCUCAAGAGCUUCUUCCAUGGACGGAAAAUCCACAUGGUAGAUAUCGUUGAUCCCAUGUGCCUCCAAAAUCUUCUUAUCUUCUGUGGUAACGAUGAUCCGGCUUCCAGAACCAAACCAAGAAGGUUCUUUAGCCAAUACCUCUAAUUGCUCUAGAUCAUCUACAUCAUCAAGAAUGAUGAGCACUCUUUGAUAUUGUAGCCAUUCUUUGAUUGCACCUAAAUGACGUAUUUUCAUAUUCUCUUGGUUCAAAAUCUUAGACAGAAGUUGGUUUUGCAACCACAACUUGGAAUCAUGGUCAUCAACACCCAUUCUGCUCUUAAGACUACCCUUGAGGUUCCCCAUAAAACAUUUAAGUUGAAAAUUGCUAGAGAGUUGGUUGUCUAAAGCUCUAGCAAUGGUGGACUUACCAAUGCCUGCAGGACCCCAAAUCCCAAUCAUCUUGACUUCAUCACUUUCCAAGCAUAACAAAGAGUUCAAUUUUGCCAAGUGAGCUUCAUGUCCCACCAUCCCGUCAAAAUCCUUCGACGGUGUAAGAUUAAGUUUGUUUGAAACAUCGGUAGCAAUCUUUUUAAUCAUAUCUGCUUCAUUAGCCCUAACAAAAGCAAAACAAAAUCAUGUUGGUGGGUCUAAAUUACAAAAAUUUGAAGCACUAAUUCAUUCAGAGACAAAAAAAAAAGAAAAAAAAAAAAUGAAGAAGAUAAAAACAAGAUACCAAUUAAGAGAAUGUUCUCCUUCUAUGUUUGCAGCAUGAGUCAAAGCAUUGCUCCAACUCUGCUUCGUCUCCUCACUUUUCCCUUCACAAGUCUUCAUGAAUGCGGUUCCGAAAUCUCCCUUCUGUUUCCGUACACUCGACGGAUCAACGUCAUAGAAGAUGGUCAUCACGAUCUGCCCCUGAUCUUCUUUGCACUUGAAGAUUUCCACAAGUUCAUCUAAACACCAGCUCGAAGAAGCGUACUUCUUCGAGAGCAGCACGAUCGAGACUCGAGAUUCUCUAAUCGCUUGUACGAGCUCAGGUUUAAUCGUGUGGCCUCUCUCGAUCUCCUGAUCUUUAAACGUCGUGAUCCCUUUGCUUGCGAAGUGAUCGUGUAAAUGACUGAGAAACCCUCUACGAACAUCUGGGCCAUGGAAGCUCGGGAAAACAUGGUAUCUCAUGAUGCCAGAGGAAGAAGAAGAAGAAGCCAUGAGAGAUCACAAAUGCUUGAACUUGAAGAUAGUAUUCUUAAUUAGAAUGGUAUUGAAGAAUGUAUGAUUGGAAGAGCAAGCUCCUUUGGUUUUUGUAGUGAAGCAAAAAAACGCGUAAAGAGAAGAGAAAUUUCGAAGAAAUUGGAAUGUAAUUGAAGAAAUACAAAAUAGAAGAGGACAAAUUUCAAAAGCGUACGUGUUUCUUUAUAGUCGUCGAGGACCACAAUCACUCAUUAAAGCUUUGCCAUGUGAAAUGAGCACAGAGUUAUAAUAAGUAUCCGACAGUCAAGUUGGUAGAGAGCACAGAGUUAUAAUAAGUAUCCGACAGUCAAGUUGGUAGAGACGACGAAUCACGAAGUUUCGAAUGAGCUCAACCACAUACCACAUUUUGUAAAUUUGGUUUGAAAAGUAAACCGGGUCUUUUAUUUGUUUUAAAUUCAAUAACAGUAAUAUCGAAUUAAAUUCUGCUUUUGGGAAUGAUGAUUUUGGAUGUUUAAUUUAGGUUUUUUCUGCUUUUUUUUUUUUUUUGUGUGUAGUGGAUGUAUUGAAAUAACGUGUGGCUUCUAUUUUAACAGCUUCUGUCUCAUUGGUGUGGAGGACACUCAGUUUCAUAAGUAAAAGAGAAGUUAUCAAAGAAAUUACGAAUUUGACAUUUUAGGGCCUGAUAUUGGGCCCUUAACUUUAUAAACGGGCCAAGCCUGAGAUUUCGGUUUUCCCGAUACUCGCAACUAGGGGUGUCAAAAUAAGCUAGCUCGCUCAACUCGGUUCAGUUCAUGAUGAGCUCGGACAUUUUAUGAGCUAACUCAGCUCAGCUCAUUUAUUAGAUGAGCUUCAAUAUAUAAACUCGGACUCAGAUCAUUUUGGUCACGAGUUAAAGGAGCUAGCUCAUAACAAAUAAAUAUAAUAACAAAAAUAUUGUAAUUUUUUUUAAAAAAAUAAAAUAAAUCCAAUAACAUAAUUAAUUCUAAAGUUAAAUAAUGGAAAUAAAUCCAAGAAAAAAAUAAUUUCAAAACGCCAAACAAAAAAAAAAUCUCAAAUAAUAAAUCCUAACAAUUAAAUUAAAUUAAUUAAAGAUAAUAGAAAUAUGGAAUGAUCAAGAAUUUAUUCCGUGUUAGAGUCUUGCUCUUGAGAUGAUCCUACAUCAACAUCUUCAUUGUCUUCAUCUACAAGUAAACGUUUUAUAUAAUAUCUAAAUAGGAUAAUUCCUUUUUUUUUUUUGGGAAACGGUUAAGAUAAAUUUUUUAAAAGAUUAUUUCUAUAUUACUUAAUUAUCUUCUAAAAUUAAUAUGUAAAAAGACACAAAUUUUCUAAAAGAAUAAUUCUAUUUUUGUUUAAUUUAAAUGGAAAAGAUAUAUAUAUAUAUAUAUAUAUAUAUAUAUCUAAAAAAAGUCGAGCUCAUGUUCAUUAAAUCUCGCUCAUAUAACUCGCGAUCUAAAAAAAGCUCGAUCACAUAACUCAUUUAUUAAAUGAGCCUAAAAAACAGAGCUCGUGCUCAUGAAAAAUCGAGCUGAGCUGAGCCAGCUUAUGAGUUGCGAGCUCAUUUUGACACCCCUACUCACAACAAAUCCGUUCAAAACAGUAUUUUAUCUAAAUCGCGCUAAAAUUUUAUCAUCCCACCUACAUGGUGGGAUGUGCAAGCAACGUGAAGGCCAUAACAUUGAUACUAUAUGCGAUUAACAGUUAUUAAAAAGUGUAUUUUAUAUAUGGGACUCCGAAGAACUCGGAAAAUGUUUUCAACGAUCAAAAUCACACCAAACCAAAAUUCAACAUUUUCCUGCAACUUUUUGUUUUUCUCUUAAUUAUCUUAGCAACCAAGAAGAAGAAAAAACAGGGGAAAAAUAAAACUCUUUUUUCUUCUUCUUCUUCUGAAUUUCUCAGUUGCUUUUUUAUUUCUCUUUUGAAUCUGUUUUAUUGAUCGGUGAGAGACAUUCUACAUAACCAAUUUUUUAACGGUUGAUUUUUCUCUUUGGAAAGAAAACCAACAGGGUAGAUAUCAUAAACUCAUGUGCCUUUAGAAUCCUUCUAUCUUCAGUGGUAAUGAUAAUCCGACUUCCAGAACCAAACAAAGAAAGCUGCCAAGGCCUCAAAUUGCUGUAGAUUGUCUACAUCAUCAAGAAUGAUAAGCACUCAUGAAUCUUGUAGCCAUUCCUUGAUUGCAUCUAAAUUAUUUAUCCUCAUAUCCCUUUUGUUGAAAAUCUUGGACAGAAGUUGGUUUUGUAAACACAACAUGGAAUCAUAGUCAUCAACACCCAUUAUGCUCUUAUAACUUCCUUUGAGGUUCCCCAUAAAACAAACUAAGUGGAAACUCGCUACAAAGUUGGUUAUAUAGAGCUCUAGCAAUGGUAGUCUUACAAAUUCCCGCAGGACCCCAAAUUACAAUCAUCUUCACGUCAUCGCAUCCAAGGCAUUAAGAGAGACGAUUUACAUACCAAUUGAGAGAGUGUUCCCCAGCAAUGGUUACAUACCAAUAAGCCAUUCAGUCUGUUUGAAACAUCAAUAAGAGGCGAUUAGCCCUAACAUAUGCAAACAAAAUCAUGUUAAGGAGUCUAAAUUUCCUUAAAGUGAAGCAUUUCCAAAAGAUAACUAAGUUCAUUAAGAGACGAUUUACAUACCAAUUAAGAGAGUGUCCCCGGCAAUCUGAGCUUCACCUCCUCAGUUUUCCCUUGACAAGUCUUCUCGAAAGCGCUCCCGAAAUCUCCCUCCCGUUUCCGUACAUCAGACGGAUAAACGUCUUAAAAAAUGGUCAUCACAAUCUGCUCUUGAGCUUCUUCGCACUUCAAGAUUUCAGCCAAUUCAUCUAAACACCAGCUGGAAGAAGCGUACCUUCUUCGAGAGCACCACAAUCGAGACUCUAGAUUCUCUAAUCGCUUGUACGAGCUCAGGUCCAAUCGUGUGGCCUCUCUUGAUCUCCUGAUCAUUGAAAGUUGUGAUUCCUUUUGCUUGCGAAAUGACAGUGUAAAUGACUGAGAAACCCUCUACGGAAAUCUGGACCGUGAAAGCUCGAAAAGACAUGGAAUCUCUUCAUACGAGACGAAGAAAAAGAAGCCAUGAAACAGAUUGGUAAAUUUUGAGAUUGAAGAAGAAGGUACCACAAUGGUUUUGGAUAAGCAAUCUAUGGAGUAGAAAACAAGUCUCUCGCUUAUAUAAUUGAAGAAAACGCGUAACGAGAGGAUUGAAAUUUCAAAGGGAUUUGUCUCUCUGUAGAGAAAAAUACAAAAAAUGUUUCCCUCAAAGUCGUCGAUGACCCAUAAGAGUGUUUCCUCAUGGUCUUGAGAACCUCAUAAGGUUUUGAAUUUUUGGCAAUCGGAAUUUUAUUUCGUAGAGAUGAGCUCAGAGCUGAAGCAUGAGACUCGGUGAGAAGAUGAUCGGAGGAAGAAGAAAGAACCAGACAUGAUUCAAAAUUAGGGAUCUUAAAACUCUCGAUAUCCAAUUGUAAAUUUGGUUUGAAAAACUAAACCGGCCUUUUCAAUUCGAUCAAAAUUGGUUUUCUGGUUAGGUUUUCUGGUUAGAAACAAAAAAAGAAAUUAGAGAUUUUCUUAGCAACCAAGAAGAACACAAAAACAGGGGAAAAACACAACUCCGUUUUUUCUUCUUCUUCUUCUGAUCCUCAGUUGCUUUCAAAUUCUCUUUUGAAUCUGUUGUAUUGAUCGGUGAGAGACACUCUACAUAACCAAUUUUUCAACGGUUGAUUUUGUCUUCAUCAAUUUUUUCAAUUUGAGAUUGUUUAUUUGGAUGAUCAGGUCGGAGAUUUACUCUGUUUUGGUUUUUGUAUGAUAGGCUUUUGUAUGCUCGAUUGAUCGAUCCUUAAAUCAUAAAGGAUCUUCAUUUCAGGUUUGGCCUCAAAACCCUAUGUUGCUUCUUCUUGAUCUAUAUAUAUCUUAAUGUUCUAUGGUCUCAGCUUCUGUUCUUUGCUACUACGUCUACACUCAGUUUCUUAGUAAAAGAGAAGUUAUCACAGAGUUACAAUGGUUCUGAAUAAGCCAUCUAUUGAAUACAACAGUAGUUUCUUACUUACCUGGAAAGCAAAUAUACACAAGACAAUAACUAACCCUAAUGCAAUGGUGCUGCUUGCAUUCAAUAGUCUUGUUCUCAUUGUCCCAGUAAGUGAACUCGAACAGAACCUUGCUCAUGGUCACAUCCACUUCGUUAAAUAUUUAUGCUUUGUUGAUGAUACAAGUCACCACCAAAUUAUAAAAACAGAUGUUCUGAUAGAGAACGAGUUGACACAUCUGAUUAAAGACAUGCGGGAUUACUCUUCUUGAUUCGUCUAGUUUCACACAGUUGCAGGAAUAACAAUAGAAUCUCUUCAAUGAUUCACACUUUGCUUACAUUUUCGACACUCAACGGACUCCAAAAGAUCGAUAUGUGACACAGAGUUUUCUGCAUUUGUGGAUGCUACGUUCUUUUUAAGACUUUUCGUUGCUGCUACUCUGAGUUUUAUCCAUCAAAUCCAUGCACUGCACUCAAUGAUCUGACAUAUUUACUGCUUGUGACAUUUUCAUCUUUAGAGAUCCGAGCGGCUCCAUCCUCAAUCGCAUUUGAUUCUUCUGUGUUUCUGGGACAACUUAGUGUGAAAAAUAAAGUGAUGUUUCACGGUGGAGCUUUUUGUCUUCUUUUUCUUAGACCAACAACCUGUGUGUUUAGCGUUAUCCACAUUCUCAACAUUUUGGUAGCCAAUGUUGCCUACGGCUUCAGGUUCACAGUCCAAAUAUUCAUCAUAUCCUUCUUUCAAGAUCUGUAUACCACACUCAAUAAUCUUGUUGUUAUCUGAGCAAGUGAAUUCGAACAGAAUCUCGCUUUGUGAGUGUACUCCACAGAGAGUUCUUUUCCGGGUAAGCAGACAUAUUUGGCUUUCAAAUGGUGUAUGAUUUCUCUUCAAAGGCUCGCCUACUAAAUUAAACCAACUACUACUUGGUCUUGGACAUAUCAAAAUUCAGUAAGAUAUAUGUAAAAACUUACUGUUCCGUUUCCUAGUACAUUGAGAAUGUCUUCAGUUUCUAUUAAGAAAAUGGUGUUUAUUGGCAUUUCCAUAUUUCGUAAAGAUUUGCUGUUUAUUGUUGGUUUGGUUGGUUGCUGCUACUAUUAGUUUAAAACGGAUCAAAUUCGGGUUUAUUGGCAUUUCCAUAUUUCGGGUUUCCAAAUUGGUUGGUUGGAGUUAUCCGAGAUACGGAGAUGCCAAUAAACGUCAAUUUUUAAUGGAGUAGAGAUAGUGAUGCCAAAUUGGGUGCAUCACCAUCUCUUGAUGCGAGCAAGACGAAGAAGGAGAAGAAGCCAUGAAAGAUAUGGUAAGCUUUGAUAUGGACGAUGAAGGUAUCACAACUGUUUUGGAUAAGCUAUCUACGGAACUGAUAUUUCAAAGGACUUUGUCCUCCUUGUAUAGAAAAAUACAAAAACAAAAUGUUUCCCCCAAAGUCGGUGAGGACCCCAUCCAUCCAUAAGGUUUGAUUUCGUUAAGAUUUGCUGUUUAUUAUUGGUUUGGUUUGGUUGCUGCUACUAUUAGUUUCAUAGUAAAAGAGAUGUUGAAAAAGUUAUCACAGAGUUUGCAAUUGUUCUGAAUAAGCCUAUGUAGCAGAACAAUGAAAGCAACUCUCUGUGAAGAAUUAAGAAAAUUGGAGCUAGGGGAUCAGAUAUUCCAGUCUCUCUACAGAUUUGGUCAUUUGGAUAAUCAGAAAUGUACACAAUUAUGUUUGCUCAUCAGUCAAAGCUUUGCUUCAUGUCCUUCACAAGUUUUCUCGAAUGCGUUGACAAGAUAACAAAACUUCUCUUAGUACUUAAACAGCUAACUAACUAGAUCACAAAAUAACAAGACUUUUCUUAGUACUUAAACAGCUAAUUAAGAAAUAAAUACAAGGCUUUGUCUAUUAAACCAAAACGGUAUAACUCAUACUGUCGUACAGAACCUAGUGUAGCGACAAUAUUGGGAUAUGCUUUGUCUACUACUAAUCACACUCACAAAGGUUUUGCAAAACAAAACAGAUUUUUGCUCAUGGAUUCUGUAAAUCCCAAUUAAUCUCCUACUAAUUUCUCUACUCUAAGAGUAUUAGCGUGUUACCAUAUCCACAAUAACAAAGCUUAAAGACAAGAGGUCUAUACUUAACAGAUUUGCCAAGAGGUAUCACUCAUUCACUCAUUAAAGAAAAAGAUGUGUAACUCAUUCAGUCAUAUACUAAGCUUAUAGACAAGAGGUGUGACUCAUUCAAAUUCACAAACUCACAAAGGUUUUGCAAGACAAACAGAUUUUUUUGUAAAUCCCAAUUAAUCUCCAUACCUCCUUAUACACAUUCGUUUGCAUUUAAGGACUUGAGCUACAGGGGAAGAGCCGGCAUUGUCACGAGUUUCGGGUUACUUGAUUAGAUGUUUUCAAUUUCAGAGAACUUGAAACCUUCUGCGUCAUAGUCUCCAUCUCCAUCUCCAACUUCAUAUCCAUCUGUGAGGUGAUUAUCGUCACCUCCAGUUUCCUAAUAAUCCACUUUGCUGCUGCUACUCUCAGUUUCACAGAUGUCCCCUUUGUCAGAACUCCACUCUGUCGUAUUCAUCUUCUUCUCUUUUAGACCAAAAAAAUUCUGAAGCCAACUCCUAAAACCUAUUUGUUUACUGGUUUUGAUGUUUUCAUCUCCAUUUCCAUCUUCGCUGCUGCUACUCUCAGUUUCAUGGCUGUCCACUUCGCUGCUGCUACUCUCAGUUUCAUAGUUGUCCAACUCCCUGAUGCUGCUACCCUCAGCUUCCUCUGUCAUGAUCUGUACACCACACUCACUAAUCUUGGCAUUGCCGACAUUGAAGCUGAACUCAAAUAUAAUCUCGCUCAUGGUCACAUCCACUUCAUGGCAUUUGUUUCCUUGGGGAAACAAAUCGCCAUGAAAUAUAAACAGAUGUUUUGACCGAAAAGACAAAGACAGAUAUUCAAACUCGUAGCUAUGAACUGUAACACCUCCUUUGCUUCUGAUACUACAACUUAUAGUUCUUAAUCCGGCGUACUCAACUGGCAAAAUGAGAAUGGAAGCCUUAAACCUUGAGGAAGCAGAGAGAGUACCCGGAGCCAGAGGGAUGGUUAUGGAUCUCCCUGUUGCUUUGUGAGUGAAAUCUGCAGGGAUGUUUUUACCUGGUAACCAUUUAUACAUGCCAACUGAUUGUUGUAUGAUUCCUCUUCUUGAUUCUUUAUCCAGUUUCAAACAGUUGCUGCCACUCUCAGUUUCAUGGCUGUCCACUUCGCUGCUACUACUCUCAGUUUCAUGGCUGUCCAAUUCCCUGAUGUUGCUACCCUCAACUUCCUCUCUCAUGAUCUGUACACCACACUCAAUAAUCUUGUCAUCGCCGAAAUCGCAGCUGAACUCAAAUAUAAUCUCGCUCAUGGUCACAUCGGCUUCAUGGCAUUUGUUUCCUUGGGGAAACAAAUCAUCAUGAAAUAUAAACAGAUGUUCUGACCGAAAAGACAAAGACAGAUGUGGACACUCGCAUCUAUGAACUGUAACACCUCCUUUGCUUCUUAUAGUACAGCUUACACCUUCAUAUCCGUAGUCCUUAACUGGGGAAAUGAGAAGGCAAGCCUUAAACCUUGAGGAAGCAGAGAGAGUACCCGGAGCCAGAGGGAUGGUUAUGGAUCUCCCUGUUGCUUUGUGAGUGAACUCUGCAGGGAUUUUUUUACCUGGUAAGCAUACAUAAUCGUAAAUUGAUUUUUGUAUGAUUCCUCUUCUUGAUUCUUUAUCCAGUUUCAAACAGUUGCUGAAUUGGAGUACAUUGGUUGGGGUAUGGAAAGAGAAGCGUACUCUCUUGAGUGAUACACAAUCGUUUGCAUCUAGGACCUUGAGGGAGGGGGGAAGACCCGGAAUUGACUCGAGUUUUGUGCACCUUUUGACAGAAAGCCAUUCUAGACGAGUGAGACCUAUGACGCAAUCUGGAAUCGUCUCUAUAUCACUGCCAUUAAGAAUUAGGUCAGUUAUAAAGAGUGGUACAUGUGUCAAUCUCUUGAGGCUGCUGCUGCAAAUGUUGAGGCGAUCAAGACGAGACAAACAUCCAGCAACUGAUGGAGGGACAUCUUCUAUAUCUGUAUCUCCGAGAUUGAGAACCUUGAUGUUACUGGAGAUUUCUGGAAAAGUUCUCAACCGUGAGCAACCAUUCAUGGUGAGUAUCUUAAGAGAUGCUAAGUUGAUGUUGCUGGGAAUAACUUGUAGCAUACAGCAAAAACCAACAUCUAGAAUCUUUAGUUUUUGUAGAUUCUUAAUAGAAGAUGGAAGCUCCACCAAACUUCCGCAGCCCUCAAGUGUCAAUUCCUCGAGAUUAGUAGCAUUUGAAAGAUUUGGGAUUUCUUUCAAUUGACGGGAAAACAUCAGAUCUAUGAUCUUGAGAUUAGGAAGGGACUGCAUGUUAAAUGAGAAAUAUUUCUUAUUUAAAUUGAAUCAUUAGAAGCACUAGAAAGAAUAUCGAAUACCAAACCUGGAUUCCUCCCCAGAGCUUCUCGAGAUUGCUAAAUGGCAUACGGAGUUCCAUGAGACGUUCCGGCUGAAACCUCCGAGGAAGACUUGUUCUUGGGUAAAAUUCCCAAUGUAGUAACCUAAGAAGAGGUAAAUAAUCCAAAUCUUCUGGUAUUUGCAAAGUACCUUCGCCGCCAAACCAACGCCUAAAGAUUCUUAGGAAUCGGAGAUUACGCAUUCCUUCAAAAGCCCCCUUACUUACAGAAACUUCUCCGAUAUUGGAUGUAUCAAAUGAUAUACCUAUGACUGAUCCAGUACCCUACAAAAUAACAUUGCCAAUGACUGAUGAAAUUGUUAUCACUAAAAAUAGGCAAUAUACAUGUAAGAACUUAAACUUACUGUUUCGGUUGACAGUACAUCACAAAUCUCAUCGGCCUCAAAUAAAAAUUGACGUUUCCCGGGCUCGUCAGACUGUUCAUGAACUAUCUGUCUACCCAAUUGUUGUAGUAGAUGGUGCAUCACUAUACGGCCAUAGGUAGAUUUAUGCACGAGAGAUUUAUCGGCUAGGGUCUCUAACCCAUUCCUAACAUCCAAGUUACUAUCAGAAAGCACAGAUAUCACAUUAUCAACGACUUCAUUGUUGAAGAAGCAUGCAAUGUGAAGGAAUAGAGAUUGAUUUUUCUUCGACAAACUGUCGAAUCCCACUUUCAAAAUGUCUUCAACUUUUCCAUCAAGACUUCCAUCAAUUCUAGAUAAUUGAAGUUCCCACUCUUGCUUGCUCUGCCCACGCAAAGAUGAACCCACGACACAAAGGCCUAAUGGAAGAUUGCCGCAAAGCUCUGCUACUUUAUUGGCAACCUCUUCAAAACCAUUUGGUACAGAGCUUUGUUUGAAAGCAGAGAGACAUAAGAUCUCAAGAGCUUCUUCCUCGGAUGGGAAAUCCACAUGGUAGAUAUCCUUGAUCCCAUGUGCCUCCAAAAUCUUCUUAUCUUCUGUGGUAACGAUGAUCCGGCUUCCAGAACCAAACCAAGAAGGUUCUUUAGCCAAUACCUCUAAUUGCUCUAGAUCAUCUACAUCAUCAAGAAUGAUGAGCACUCUUUGACGUUGUAGCCUUUCUUUGAUUGCACCUAAAUGACGCAUCUUCAUAUUCUCUUGGUUAAAAAUCUUAGACAAAAGUUGGUUUUGCAACCACAACUUGGAAUCAUGGUCAUCAACACCCAUUCUGCUCUUAAGACUACCCUUGAGGUUCCCCAUAAAACAUUUAAGUUGAAAAUUGCUAGAGAGUUGGUUGUCUAAAGCUCUAGCAAUGGUGGACUUACCAAUCCCUGCAGGACCCCAAAUCCCAAUCAUCUUGACUUCAUCACUUUCCAAGCAUAACAAAGAGUUCAAUUUUGCCAAGUGAGCUUCAUGUCCCACCAUCCCGUCAAAAUCCUUCGACGGUGUAAGAUUAAGUUUGUUUGAAACAUCGGUAGCAAUCUUUUUAAUCAUAUCUGCUUCAUUAGCCCUAACAAAAGCAAAACAAAAUCAUGUUGGUGGGUCGAAAUUACAAAAAUUUGAAGCACUAAUUCAUUCAGAGACAAAAAAAAAAAGAAAAAAAAAAAAAGAAGAAGAUAAAAACAAGAUACCAAUUAAGAGAAUGUUCUCCUUCUAUGUUUGCAGCAUGAGUCAAAGCAUUGCUCCAACUCUGCUUCGUCUCCUCACUUUUCCCUUCACAAGUCUUCAUGAAUGCGGUUCCGAAAUCUCCCUUCUGUUUCCGUACACUCGACGGAUCAACGUCAUAGAAGAUGGUCAUCACGAUCUGCCCCUGAUCUUCUUUGCACUUGAAGAUUUCCACAAGUUCAUCUAAACACCAGCUCGAAGAAGCGUACUUCUUCGAGAGCAGCACGAUCGAGACUCGAGAUUCUCUAAUCGCUUGUACGAGCUCAGGUUUAAUCGUGUGGCCUCUCUCGAUCUCCUGAUCUUUAAACGUCGUGAUCCCUUUGCUUGCGAAGUGAUCGUGUAAAUGACUGAGAAACCCUCUACGAACAUCUGGGCCAUGGAAGCUCGGGAAAACAUGGUAUCUCAUGAUGCCAGAGGAAGAAGAAGAAGAAGCCAUGAGAGAUCACAAAUGCUUGAACUUGAAGAAAGUAUUUUUAGAAUGGUAUUGGAGAAAGUAUGAUUGGAAAAGCAAGAUCCUUCGGUUAUUUAUCGAAGCAAAAAAAACGCGUAAAAGGAGAAGAGAAAUUUCGAAGAAAUUGGAAUGUACUGAAGAAAUACAAAAUAGACAAAUUUCAAAGGAAAGCUCCUUUGGUUUUUGUAGUGAAGCAAAAAAACGCGUAAAGAGAAGAGAAAUUUCGAAGAAAUUGGAAUGUAAUUGAAGAAAUACAAAAUAGAAGGGGACAAAUUUCAAAAGCGUACGUGUUUCUUUAUAGUCGUCGAGGACCACAAUCACUCAUUAAAGCUUUGCCAUGUGAAAUGAGCACAGAGUUAUAAUAAGUAUCCGACAGUCAAGUUGGUAGAGAGCACAGAGUUAUAAUAAGUAUCCGACAGUCAAGAUGGUAGAGACGACGAAUCACGAAGUUUCGAAUGAGCUCAACCACAUACCACAUUUGGUUUGAAAAGUAAACCGGGUCUUUUAUUUGUUUUAAAUUCAAUAACAGUAAUAUCGAAUUAAAUUCUGCUUUUGGGAAUGAUGAUUUUGGAUAUUUAACUUAGGUUUUUUCUGUUUUUUUUUUUUUUUUGUGUAGUGGAUGUAUUGAAAUAACGUGUGGCUUCUAUUUUAACAGCUUAUGUUUCAUUGGUGUGGAGGACACUCAGUUUCAUAAGUAAAAGAGAAGUUAUCAAAGAAAUUACGAAUUUGACAUUUUAGGGCCUGAUAUUGGGCCCUUAACUUUAUAAACGGGCUGAGCCUGAGAUUUCGGUUUUCCCGAUACUCGCAACUAAGAGUGUCAAAAUAAGCUAGCUCGCUCAACUCGGUUCAGCUCAUGAUGAGCUCGGACAUUUUAUGAGCUAACUCAGCUCAGCUCAUUUAUUAGAUGAGCUUCAAUAUAUAAAUUCGGACUCAGAUCAUCUUGGUCACGAGUUAAAUGAGCUAGCUCAUAACAAAUAAAUAUAAUAACAAAAAUAUUGUAAAUUUUUUUAAAAAAAUUAAAAUAAAUCCAAUAACAUAAUUAAUUCUAAAGUUAAAUAAUGGAAAUAAACCAAGAAAAAAAUAAUCUCAAAACGCCAAACAAAAAAAAUCUCAAAUAAUAAAUCCUAACAAUUAAAUUAAAUUAAUUAAAGAUAAUAGAAAUAUGGAAUGAUCAAGAAUUUAUUCCGUGUUAGAGUCUUGCUCUUGAGAUGAUCCUACAUCAACAUCUUCAUUGUCUUCAUCUACAAGUAAACGUUUUAGAUAAUAUCUAAAUAUGAUAAUUCCUUUCAUUUUUUUGGGAAACGUUUAAGAUAAAUUUUUUAAAGGAUUAUUUCUAUAUUACUUAAUUAUCUUCUAAAAUUAAUAUGUAAAAACACAAAUUUUCUAAAAGAAUAAUUCUAUUUUUGUUUAAUUUAUAUGGAAAAGAUAUAUAUAUAUAUAUAUAUAUAUAUUUCUAAAAAAAGUCAAGCUCAUGUUCAUUAAAGCUCGCUCAUAUAACUCGCGAUCUAAAAAAAGCUCGAUCACAUAACUCAUUUAUUAAAUGAGCCUAAAAAACAGAGCUCGUGUUCAUGAAAAAUCGAGCUGAGCUGAACCAGCUUAUGAGUUGCGAGCUCAUUUUGACACCCCUACUCGCAACAAAUCCGUUCAAAACAGUAUUUUAUCUAAAUCGCGCUAAAAUUUUAUCAUCCCACCUAACAUUGUGGGAUGUGCAAGCAACGUGAAGGCCAUAACAUUGAUACUAUAUGCGAUUAACAAUUAUUAAAAAGUGUAUUUUAUAUAUGGGACUCCAAAGAACUCGGAAAAUGUUUUCAACGAUCAAAAUCACACCAAACCAAAAUUCAACAUUUUCCUGCAACUUUUUUUUUUCUCUUAAUUUUCUUAGCAACCAAGAAGAAGAAAAAACAGAGGAAAAAUAAAACUCUUUUUUCUUCGUCUUCUGAAUUCCUCAGUUGCUUUCAAAUUCUCAUUUAAAUCUGUUGUAUUGAUCGGUGAGAGACAUUCUACGUAACCAAUUUUUCAAAGGUUGAUUUUCUUUUUAUCAAUUUUAUCAAUUUGAGAUUGUUUUUUGGAUGAUCAGGUCGGAUAUUUGCUCUGUUUCGGUUCGUGUAUGAUAUGCUUUUGUAUGCUCGAUUAUUGAUCGUUCCUUAAAUCAUAAAGAAUCUUCCUUUAUAUUAGUUGUCGUUUUCAAAUUUCUAUGCAAAAUUUUUUACUUUUUAAUGUUUUAUGAUAUCAUAAAACAUUAAAAAGUAAAAAAAUUUGCAUAGAAAUUUGAAAACGACAUCCAAUUCAAAAAAAUAAAAAUUCUAAAACGACACUUAUUAAAAUACGGAGGAGUAACAAGUAUCCGACAGUCAAGUUGGUAGAGACGACGAAUCACGAAGUUUCGAAUGAGCUCAACCACAUACCACAUUUUGUAAAUUUGGUUUGAAAAGUAAACCGGGUCUUUUAUUUGUUUUAAAUUCAAUAACAGUAAUAUCGAAUUAAAUUCUGCUUUUGGGAAUGAUGAUUUUGGAUGAUUAAUUUAGGUUUUUUCUGUUUUUUUUUUUUUUUUUGUGUGUAGUGGAUGUAUUGAAAUAACGUGUGGCUUCUAUUUUAAUAGCUUCUGUCUCAUUGGUGUGGAGGACACUCAGUUUCAUAAGUAAAAGAGAAGUUAUCAAAGAAAUUACGAAUUUGACAUUUUAGGACAUGAUAUUGGGCCCUUAACUUUAUAAACGGGCUGAGCCUGAGAUUUCGGUUUUCCGAUACUCGUAACUAGGGGUGUCAAAAUAAGCUAGCUCGCUCAACUCGGUUCAGUUCAUGAUGAGCUCGGAUAUUUUAUGAGCUAACUCAGCUCAGCUCAUUUAUUAGAUGAGCUUCAAUAUAUAAACUCGGACUCAGAUCAUCUUGGUCACGAGUUAAAGGAGCUAGCUCAUAACAAAUAAAUAUAAUAACAAAAAUAUUGUAAUUUUAAAAAAAAAAAAUUAAAAUAAAUUUAAUAACAUAAUUAAUUCUGAAGUUAAAUAAUGGAAAUAAAUCCAAGAAAAAAAUAAUUUCAAAACGCCAAACAAAAAAAAAUCUCAAAUAAUAAAUCCUAACAAUUAAAUUAAAUUAAUUAAAGAUAAUAGAAUUAUGGAAUGAUCAAGAAUUUAUUCCGUGUUAGAGUCUUGCUCUUGAGAUGAUCCUACAUCAACAUCUUCAUUGUCUUCAUCUACAAGUAAACGUUUUAGAUAAUAUCUAAAUAGGAUAAUUCCUUUCUUUUUUUUGGGAAACGUUUAAGAUAAAUUUUUUAAAGGAUUAUUUCUAUAUUACUUAAUUAUCUUCUAAAAUUAAUAUGUAAAAAGACACAAAUUUUCUAAAAGAAUAAUUCUAUUUUUGUUUAAUUUAAAUGGAAAAGAUAUAUAUAAAUAUAUAUAUAUAUAUAUAUAUAUAUAUAUAUCUAAAAAAAGUCGAGCUCAUGUUCAUUAAAUCUCGCUCAUAUAACUCGCGAUCUAAAAAAAGCUCGAUCACAUAACUCAUUUAUUAAAUGAGUCUAAAAAACAGAGCUCGUGCUCAUGAAAAAUCGAGCUGAGCUGAACCAGCUUAUGAGUUGCAAGCUCAUUUUGACACCCCUACUCGCAACAAAUCCGUUCAAAACAGUAUUUUAUCUAAAUCGCGCUAAAAUUUUAUCAUCCCACCUAACAUUGUGGGAUGUGCAAGCAACGUGAAGGCCAUAACAUUGAUACUAUAUGCGAUUAACAGUUAUUAAAAAGUGUAUUUUAUAUAUGGGACUCCGAAGAACUCGGAAAAUGUUUUCAACGAUCAAAAUCACACCAAACCAAAAUUCAACAUUUUCCUGCAACUUUUUGUUUUUCUCUUAAUUAUCUUAGCAACCAAGAAGAAGAAAAAACAGGGGAAAAAUAAAACUCUUUUUUCUUCUUCUUCUUCUGAAUUUCUCAGUUGCUUUUUAUUUCUCUUUUGAAUCUGUUUUAUUGAUCGGUGAGAGACAUUCUACAUAACCAAUUUUUUAACGGUUGAUUUUUCUCUUUGGAAAGAAAACCAACAGGGUAGAUAUCAUAAACUCAUGUGCCUUUAGAAUCCUUCUAUCUUCAGUGGUAAUGAUAAUCCGACUUCCAGAACCAAACAAAGAAAGCUGCCAAGGCCUCAAAUUGCUGUAGAUUGUCUACAUCAUCAAGAAUGAUAAGCACUCAUGAAUCUUGUAGCCAUUCCUUGAUUGCAUCUAAAUUAUUUAUCCUCAUAUCCCUUUUGUUGAAAAUCUUGGACAGAAGUUGGUUUUGUAAACACAACAUGGAAUCAUAGUCAUCAACACCCAUUAUGCUCUUAUAACUUCCUUUGAGGUUCCCCAUAAAACAACUAAGUGGAAACUCGCUACAAAUUUGGUUAUAUAGAGCUCUAGCAAUGGUAGUCUUACAAAUUCCCGCAGGACCCCAAAUUACAAUCAUCUUCACGUCAUCGCAUCCAAGGCAUAACAAAGAGUCCAGUUUAUUCAAGUGAGCUUCAAUUCCUACCAUACCCUUAAAAUCCCUAGACGGUCUAGCAUUCAGUCUGUUUGAAACAUCAAUAGCAAUCUUUUCAAUCAUUUCUGCUUCAUUAGCCCUAACACAUGCAAACAAAAUCAUGUUAAGGAGUCUAAAUUUCCUUAAAGUGAAGCAUUUCCAAAAGAUAAUUAAGUUCAUUAAGAGACGAUUUACAUACCAAUUAAGAGAGUGUUCCCCGGCAAUCUGAGCUUCACCUCCUCAGUUUUCCCUUGACAAGUCUUCUCGAAAGCGCUCCUGAAAUUUCCCUCCUGUUUCCGUACAUCGGACGGAUCAACGUCGUAAAAAAUGGUCAUCACAAUCUGCCCUUGAGACUGCUUCUUCGCACUUCAAGAUUUCAACCAAUUCAUCUAAACACCAGCUGGAAGAAGCGUACCUUCUUCGAGAGCACCACAAUCGAGACUCUAGAUUCUCUAAUCGCUUGUACGAGCUCAGGUCCAAUCGUGUGGCCUCUCUUGAUCUCCUGAUCAUUGAAAGUUGUGAUUCCUUUUGCUUGCGAAAUGACAGUGUAAAUGACUGAGAAACCCUCUACGGAAAUCUGGACCGUGAAAGCUCGAAAAGACAUGGAAUCUCUUCAUACGAGACGAAGAAAAAGAAGCCAUGAAACAGAUUGGUAAAUUUUGAGAUUGAAGAAGAAGGUACCACAAUGGUUUUGGAUAAGCAAUCUAUGGAGUAGAAAACAAGUCUCUCGCUUAUAUAAUUGAAGAAAACGCGUAACGAGAGGAUUGAAAUUUCAAAGGGAUUUGUCUCUCUGUAGAGAAAAAUACAAAAAAUGUUUCCCUCAAAGUCGUCGAUGACCCAUAAGAGUGUUUCCUCAUGGUCUUGAGAACCUCAUAAGGUUUUGAAUUUUUGGCAAUCGGAAUUUUAUUUCGUAGAGAUGAGCUCAGAGCUGAAGCAUGAGACUCGGUGAGAAGAUGAUCGGAGGAAGAAGAAAGAACCAGACAUGAUUCAAAAUUAGGGAUCUUAAAACUCUCGAUAUCCAAUUGUAAAUUUGGUUUGAAAAACUAAACCGGCCUUUUCAAUUCGAUCAAAAUUGGUUUUCUGGUUAGGUUUUCUGGUUAGAAACAAAAAAAGAAAUUAGAGAUUUUCUUAGCAACCAAGAAGAACACAAAAACAGGGGAAAAACACAACUCCGUUUUUUCUUCUUCUUCUUCUGAUCCUCAGUUGCUUUCAAAUUCUCUUUUGAAUCUGUUGUAUUGAUCGGUGAGAGACACUCUACAUAACCAAUUUUUCAACGGUUGAUUUUGUCUUCAUCAAUUUUUUCAAUUUGAGAUUGUUUAUUUGGAUGAUCAGGUCGGAGAUUUACUCUGUUUUGGUUUUUGUAUGAUAGGCUUUUGUAUGCUCGAUUGAUCGAUCCUUAAAUCAUAAAGGAUCUUCAUUUCAGGUUUGGCCUCAAAACCCUAUGUUGCUUCUUCUUGAUCUAUAUAUAUCUUAAUGUUCUAUGGUCUCAGCUUCUGUUCUUUGCUACUACGUCUACACUCAGUUUCUUAGUAAAAGAGAAGUUAUCACAGAGUUACAAUGGUUCUGAAUAAGCCAUCUAUUGAAUACAACAGUAGUUUCUUACUUACCUGGAAAGAAAAUAUACACAAGACAAUAACUAACCCUAAUGCAAUGGUGCUGCUUGCAUUCAAUAGUCUUGUUCUCAUUGUCCCAGUAAGUGAACUCGAACAGAACCUUGCUCAUGGUCACAUCCACUUCGUUAAAUAUUUAUGCUUUGUUGAUGAUACAAGUCACCACCAAAUUAUAAAAACAGAUGUUCUGAUAGAGAACGAGUUGACACAUCUGAUUAAAGACAUGCGGGAUUACUCUUCUUGAUUCGUCUAGUUUCACACAGUUGCAGGAAUAACAAUAGAAUCUCUUCAAUGAUUCACACUUUGCUUACAUUUUCGACACUCAACGGACUCCAAAAGAUCGAUAUGUGACACAGAGUUUUCUGCAUUUGUGGAUGCUACGUUCUUUUUAAGACUUUUCGUUGCUGCUACUCUGAGUUUUAUCCAUCAAAUCCAUGCACUGCACUCAAUGAUCUGACAUAUUUACUGCUUGUGACAUUUUCAUCUUUAGAGAUCCGAGCGGCUCCAUCCUCAAUCGCAUUUGAUUCUUCUGUGUUUCUGGGACAACUUAGUGUGAAAAAUAAAGUGAUGUUUCACGGUGGAGCUUUUUGUCUUCUUUUUCUUAGACCAACAACCUGUGUGUUUAGCGUUAUCCACAUUCUCAACAUUUUGGUAGCCAAUGUUGCCUACGGCUUCAGGUUCACAGUCCAAAUAUUCAUCAUAUCCUUCUUUCAAGAUCUGUAUACCACACUCAAUAAUCUUGUUGUUAUCUGAGCAAGUGAAUUCGAACAGAAUCUCGCUUUGUGAGUGUACUCCACAGAGAGUUCUUUUCCGGGUAAGCAGACAUAUUUGGCUUUCAAAUGGUGUAUGAUUUCUCUUCAAAGGCUCGCCUACUAAAUUAAACCAACUACUACUUGGUCUUGGACAUAUCAAAAUUCAGUAAGAUAUAUGUAAAAACUUACUGUUCCGUUUCCUAGUACAUUGAGAAUGUCUUCAGUUUCUAUUAAGAAAAUGGUGUUUAUUGGCAUUUCCAUAUUUCGUAAAGAUUUGCUGUUUAUUGUUGGUUUGGUUGGUUGCUGCUACUAUUAGUUUAAAACGGAUCAAAUUCGGGUUUAUUGGCAUUUCCAUAUUUCGGGUUUCCAAAUUGGUUGGUUGGAGUUAUCCGAGAUACGGAGAUGCCAAUAAACGUCAAUUUUUAAUGGAGUAGAGAUAGUGAUGCCAAAUUGGGUGCAUCACCAUCUCUUGAUGCGAGCAAGACGAAGAAGGAGAAGAAGCCAUGAAAGAUAUGGUAAGCUUUGAUAUGGACGAUGAAGGUAUCACAACUGUUUUGGAUAAGCUAUCUACGGAACUGAUAUUUCAAAGGACUUUGUCCUCCUUGUAUAGAAAAAUACAAAAACAAAAUGUUUCCCCCAAAGUCGGUGAGGACCCCAUCCAUCCAUAAGGUUUGAUUUCGUUAAGAUUUGCUGUUUAUUAUUGGUUUGGUUUGGUUGCUGCUACUAUUAGUUUCAUAGUAAAAGAGAUGUUGAAAAAGUUAUCACAGAGUUUGCAAUUGUUCUGAAUAAGCCUAUGUAGCAGAACAAUGAAAGCAACUCUCUGUGAAGAAUUAAGAAAAUUGGAGCUAGGGGAUCAGAUAUUCCAGUCUCUCUACAGAUUUGGUCAUUUGGAUAAUCAGAAAUGUACACAAUUAUGUUUGCUCAUCAGUCAAAGCUUUGCUUCAUGUCCUUCACAAGUUUUCUCGAAUGCGUUGACAAGAUAACAAAACUUCUCUUAGUACUUAAACAGCUAACUAACUAGAUCACAAAAUAACAAGACUUUUCUUAGUACUUAAACAGCUAAUUAAGAAAUAAAUACAAGGCUUUGUCUAUUAAACCAAAACGGUAUAACUCAUACUGUCGUACAGAACCUAGUGUAGCGACAAUAUUGGGAUAUGCUUUGUCUACUACUAAUCACACUCACAAAGGUUUUGCAAAACAAAACAGAUUUUUGCUCAUGGAUUCUGUAAAUCCCAAUUAAUCUCCUACUAAUUUCUCUACUCUAAGAGUAUUAGCGUGUUACCAUAUCCACAAUAACAAAGCUUAAAGACAAGAGGUCUAUACUUAACAGAUUUGCCAAGAGGUAUCACUCAUUCACUCAUUAAAGAAAAAGAGGUGUAACUCAUUCAGUCAUAUACUAAGCUUAUAGACAAGAGGUGUGACUCAUUCAAAUUCACAAACUCACAAAGGUUUUGCAAGACAAACAGAUUUUUUUGUAAAUCCCAAUUAAUCUCCAUACCUCCUUAUACACAUUCGUUUGCAUUUAAGGACUUGAGCUACAGGGGAAGAGCCGGCACUGUCACGAGUUUCGGGUUACUUGAUUAGAUGUUUUCAAUUUCAGAGAACUUGAAACCUUCUGCGUCAUAGUCUCCAUCUCCAUCUCCAACUUCAUAUCCAUCUGUGAGGUGAUUAUCGUCACCUCCAGUUUCCUAAUAAUCCACUUUGCUGCUGCUACUCUCAGUUUCACAGAUGUCCCCUUUGUCAGAACUCCACUCUGUCGUAUUCAUCUUCUUCUCUUUUAGACCAAAAAAAUUCUGAAGCCAACUCCUAAAACCUAUUUGUUUACUGGUUUUGAUG